rnacentral:rRNA from 1 species
UACGUAGGUGGCGAGCGUUACUCGGAGUUACUGGGCGUAAAGGGUCCGUAGGUGGUUUCCUAAGUCUGAGGUGAAAGCCUGCAGCUCAACUGCAGAACGGCCUUGGAUACUGGGAGACUGGAGUGCAGGAGAGGUAAGUGGAAUUUGUGGUGUAGCGGUGGAAUGCGUGGAUAUCACAAGGAACACCAGAGGCGAAAGCGGCUUACUGGACUGCAACUGACACUGAGGGACGAAAGCCAGGGGAGCAAAAAGG